UGACCCUGAUCUCUUCAGUAAAUCUUUCUCUAAAAAAGACAAUAACCUAUCUUUUGAUUAUCGAAGGCCGCGAGACCCAUCUUGCCUCAAUAAUAAAGCCCAGGAUCAUAUUCCUAGCUUUCCUGCAGUUAACUAGCGCAUGGAAAAACUUAGUUUUCAUCACUUUCCAAUGCCCAUCUAGUCUUGAAUCUCUGUUUUAAAUCCAUAUUCUUUUAAUGCCUUUUAAUCAAUUUAAAUAUUCUUGCGGCUUCAUGAUGAUUAU
rnacentral:lncRNA from 1 species